AGAGUUUGAUCCUGGCUCAGAUUGAACGCUGGCGGCAUGCCUUACACAUGCAAGUCGAACGGCAGCGCGGGAGCAAUCCUGGCGGCGAGUGGCGAACGGGUGAGUAAUACAUCGGAACGUGCCCAAUCGUGGGGGAUAACGCAGCGAAAGCUGUGCUAAUACCGCAUACGAUCUACGGAUGAAAGCAGGGGAUCGCAAGACCUUGCGCGAAUGGAGCGGCCGAUGGCAGAUUAGGUAGUUGGUGAGGUAAAGGCUCACCAAGCCUUCGAUCUGUAGCUGGUCUGAGAGGACGACCAGCCACACUGGGACUGAGACACGGCCCAGACUCCUACGGGAGGCAGCAGUGGGGAAUUUUGGACAAUGGGCGAAAGCCUGAUCCAGCCAUGCCGCGUGCAGGAUGAAGGCCUUCGGGUUGUAAACUGCUUUUGUACGGAACGAAACGGCCUUUUCUAAUAAAGAGGGCUAAUGACGGUACCGUAAGAAUAAGCACCGGCUAACUACGUGCCAGCAGCCGCGGUAAUACGUAGGGUGCAAGCGUUAAUCGGAAUUACUGGGCGUAAAGCGUGCGCAGGCGGUUAUGUAAGACAGUUGUGAAAUCCCCGGGCUCAACCUGGGAACUGCAUCUGUGACUGCAUAGCUAGAGUACGGUAGAGGGGGAUGGAAUUCCGCGUGUAGCAGUGAAAUGCGUAGAUAUGCGGAGGAACACCGAUGGCGAAGGCAAUCCCCUGGACCUGUACUGACGCUCAUGCACGAAAGCGUGGGGAGCAAACAGGAUUAGAUACCCUGGUAGUCCACGCCCUAAACGAUGUCAACUGGUUGUUGGGUCUUCACUGACUCAGUAACGAAGCUAACGCGUGAAGUUGACCGCCUGGGGAGUACGGCCGCAAGGUUGAAACUCUAAGGAAUUGACGGGGACCCGCACAAGCGGUGGAUGAUGUGGUUUAAUUCGAUGCAACGCGAAAAACCUUACCCACCUUUGACAUGUACGGAAUUCGCCAGAGAUGGCUUAGUGCUCGAAAGAGAACCGUAACACAGGUGCUGCAUGGCUGUCGUCAGCUCGUGUCGUGAGAUGUUGGGUUAAGUCCCGCAACGAGCGCAACCCUUGUCAUUAGUUGCUACAUUAGUUGGGCACUCUAAUGAGACUGCCGGUGACAAACCGGAGGAAGGUGGGGAUGACGUCAAGUCCUCAUGGCCCUUAUAGGUGGGGCUACACACGUCAUACAAUGGCUGGUACAAAGGGUUGCCAACCCGCGAGGGGGAGCUAAUCCCAUAAAACCAGUCGUAGUCCGGAUCGCAGUCUGCAACUCGACUGCGUGAAGUCGGAAUCGCUAGUAAUCGUGGAUCAGAAUGUCACGGUGAAUACGUUCCCGGGUCCUGUACACACCGCCCGUCACACCAUGGGAGCGGGUUCUGCCAGAAGUAGUUAGCUUAACCGCAAGGAGGGCGAUUACCACGGCAGGGUUCGUGACUGGGGUGAAGUCGGAACAAGGUAGCCGUAUCGGAAGGUGCGGCUG
rnacentral:rRNA from 1 species